AUGUAUACAAAGGUACAGUAAACAUACGUAUAAUACUUAACUCCAAAUCGUUUUUUGUUAUUAAUGGUGUAUCAUAUAAUGGUGAAUAUAUAUGUAUCAUCAUUUGUUAAUGGUAUCAAUUAAAUAACUUAAUGAAUCCCACCUUUUUUUCUACUACUCGCCUAUAAUAGUGGCCUCACCCGUUCCCAGUAACGGCUUUUUUUUUAUAAUUGGACUUUAUCAAAUUUCGACUAACACAUACAAAUAAAUUGUUACUACUGUGGGAGGUACAAAAGAUCUUGUUGCAGAUUUUAUUACGUUUAAGUACGAAAAUAGUCUAUUUCUAACAUCUAGGGAAACAGUAGAAUGUGAAAUUAUAAUUAUUGUCUGUGUGUCUUUUUUUUGUAAAAGUGAGUUUUAGAGGAAAAUUGUGUAUUCGUGACUGUACGCGUUCUACUAAGAAGUUUUAUAUCUUGUAUUUAUUUUUUUCUCUCGAGGGAUAUAUAGGUAGAUACAUCUCUAAGAUAGACUUCCAUGCGUUCUUAUUUUGGGAUGAUAUAUGGGUUAGAAUAUUUAUUUUCCCGGAAAAUUGAUUUAUUUUUCUUUCAGAGGUUAUAUUUUGAUUUUAUUAAAAUAUAUAUAAAUAUUUUUUUUUUGGCUGGAG